CCUACGGUGAGCAGCAGUCGAGAAUCAUUCACAAUGGGGGAAACCCUGAUGGUGCGACGCCGCGUGGGGGAAUGAAGGUCUUCGGAUUGUAAACCCCUGUCAUGUGGGAGCAAAUUAAAAAGAUAGUACCACAAGAGGAAGAGACGGCUAACUCUGUGACAGCAGCCGCGGUAAUACAGAGGUCUCAAGCGUUGUUCGGAAUCACUGGGCGUAAGGCGUGGGUAGGCUGUUGCGUAAGUAGUGUGUGAAAGGCGCGGGCUCAACCCGCGGACGGCACAUGAUAUUGCGAGACUAGAGAGAUGGAGGGGGAACCGGAAUUCUCGGUGUAGCAGUGACAUGCGUAGAUAUCGAGAGGAACGCUCGUGGCGAAGGCGGGUUCCUGGACAUUAACUGACGCUGUGGCACGAAGGCCAGGGGAGCGAAAGGGAUUAGAUACCCGUGUAGUC
rnacentral:rRNA from 1 species